rnacentral:rRNA from 1 species
CCCUUCUCUCCGGAGGAGGCGCACCAUAGAGAGACCGCUGGUGCUAAACCAGAGGAAGGCGAGGGCAACGACAGGUCAGUAUGCCCCGAAUGUCAUGGGCUACACGCGCGCUACAAAGGACGGGACAAUGGGAAGCCAGAUCGAGAGAUCGAGCUAACCCGAAACCCGUUCAUAGUUCGGAUUGUGGGCUGUAACUCGCCCACAUGAAGCUGGAUUGCGUAGUAAUCGUGUUUCAACAUAGCACGGUGAAUAUGCCCCUGCUCCUUGCACACACCGCCCGUCAAACCAUCUUAGUUGGGGGUGGGUGAGGCUGCGCUUUA